AGAGGGUGCAAGCGUUAAUCGGAAUUACUGGGCGUAAAGCGCGCGUAGGCGGUCGAGUAAGUCGGAUGUGAAAUCCCCGGGCUUAACCUGGGAAUUGCAUUCGAUACUGCUUGGCUAGAGUGUGGAAGAGGGAAGCGGAAUUUCCGGUGUAGCGGUGAAAUGCGUAGAUAUCGGAAGGAACACCAGUGGCGAAGGCGGCUUCCUGGUCCAACACUGACGCUGAGGCGCGAAAGCGUGGGGAGCGAACAGGAUUAGAUACCCUGGUAGUCCACGCUGUAAACGAUGAGAACUAGAUGUUGGGGGGUAUAACCCCUCAGUGUCGCAGCUAACGCGUUAAGUUCUCCGCCUGGGGAGUACGGCCGCAAGGUUG
rnacentral:rRNA from 1 species